UCUAACAAAUCUAAAAAAUAAUCUGACUAAAAUAUAAUUUUAAUAAAAAUAAUGAUGAUUCAUUCAUCAGAUGGAUCCUGCUCAGUGCUGCUGUUCCCAGUCAACGGUACUACGUACGUAGUACUCUGUAGGUGCAAUAAUAUUCGUGUAGAGUUAGUAGUAGUACGGUUCUA
rnacentral:rRNA from 1 species